rnacentral:rRNA from 1 species
UACGUAGGGUGCGAGCGUUGUCCGGAAUUAUUGGGCGUAAAGAGCUUGUAGGCGGUCUGUCGCGUCUGCUGUGAAAAUCCGGGGCUCAACCCCGGACUUGCAGUGGGUACGGGCAGACUAGAGUGUGGUAGGGGAGACUGGAAUUCCUGGUGUAGCGGUGAAAUGCGCAGAUAUCGAGAGGAACACCUGCGGCGAAGGCGGGUUGCUGGGCCGACACUGACGCUGAUGCGCGAAAGCUAGGGGAGCGAACGGG